GGACUUAAAAUCCGUUGGCUUUUUAGACCAUGAGGGUUCAAGUCCCUCUACCCCCA
rnacentral:tRNA from 9 species